rnacentral:misc_RNA from 1 species
AGGCUUUACUAGUUGUAAUAGAUUGAAAAUGGAGUAUAGGUAAUGAAAAUACAGACAUGACCUAUCUGCUACUGAAUAGUUUUAGCUUGUUGCUGAGUAAAGGUAAUGGAUUAUUGCUCAGAUUGGAAGGGCUUGUAGGCCUUGAGAGAGAUCACUAGACCUUCAAUUGAUCCAGCUGCAGCAGCGAGUGAUACUACCAAGCAGGCAAAAGUGAAUAUUUUCAGCCAUGACCAUGUGAAAGAGAAUUUUGGAAUUCUUGAACGUGCAAUGUACAUCUCAACUGGAAAAUAUACCGUCAAUGGCCAGAAAGAGGCUGCUCCGAUGAGACCCAAGAAAUCGUUGAAGAAUGGGAAGAUCAUAGCUAACACUGCUGUCACUAUAACAUAUAGGGUUCUCCACACCAAUCUGAACAAGUUGAGGUAAUACACACCAUAAAAAGGAAUGUAAAUGGCGUGUUCUCUUGUUAUGACCUUGUUCUCCGGCCACCUUUGGUGGCAGUUUCUCUCCAUAAAACUGAAGAUUGGCUGGGAGAAAACCUGGUAGGCACCGAUGAGGUGGACGGCAAUGCAUACAUUGGCGAAGUCGAUCAGCCAAAAGGGUUCAUAGAAUCCAAAACCAGUGAGGAAAUUGCCUGGUGCAUCAUUUCCAAAUGCUGCAUAACCAACACAACCACACAGGACGUAGAACAGGGUGGUGGUUAGGAUGCCAACAAAGGAUGCCUUCUUCAUGGCUUUGUUCUCAGGAGGACUUGAUUUGAUGGUAUCCUGUAUCUCGAUAAGAACGGUAGAGUAAGCAUAAGCAAAAGCUAUGUCCCCGAUAGCUUGGAAAGCCUUCCACACCUUCUGUGCUGCUGUCACGUCCACCCCAACUUUAGUUCCUGUUAAGCUUGUCCUUGCAUGUCCCCCUCCUGCUACUUUUGCUAGGGAGAGUCCGAGACCUAUUGAAGAAUAGGAGAAAGACAUGAGAGCUGCAAGAAUAGAGAGCCAUGAGAGCUUGUGGAAGUUUGGUAUUUGGCUGAGGAUGAUUUGGAUGCAAGCAAAGAUGAUCAUGUAGGGAUAGUUUGAUAUAUUGCACUUUUCAUGAUGUCCAUGUUUGUGGAAACAAUUUGACCUCUUAACAGCCACCAUGCUAAUAGAUGCCGUAAUAGUGUAACCUAUUGUGAUUCCUAUGAGGUUCACAUACUGAGCCAAUCCACAGAGGUGAACUUUCCAGCCUCCUAAGUUGGCUCUCACAGCGUCCAUGUAAGUG